GGAGAAGCUCAGUGGUAGAGUGCAUGCUUAGUAGUAUGGCCUUCUGGGUUCAGAACCCAGCUUCUCCC